rnacentral:rRNA from 1 species
AGAGUUUGAUCAUGGCUUAGGAUGAACGCUAGCGGCAGGCCUAACACAUGCAAGUCGAGGGGCGAGCACGGUGUAGCAAUACACUGGUGGCGACCGGCGCACGGGUGCGUAACGCGUAUGCAACCUACCCAUAACAGGGGGAUAACACGUGAGAAAUUGGUACUAAUACCCCAUAACAUCAGGACCGGCAUCGGUUCUGGUUGAAAACUCCGGUGGUUAUGGAUGGGCAUGCGUUGUAUUAGCUGGUUGG